rnacentral:rRNA from 1 species
AUGGACUCCCCCUCGUCGCCGGCGGCAGCGACGCCACCGGCCACCGGAGAUGAUUGUUUCACAAUGAAAAAGUGGCAAUUUAAACUGCGGAAACCUUCCCCGGCCAUUCGUCCAGCGCGACGAUGGCGUGUCGUUCAAUCCACCGAGCCGCAACGGUGCAUGCGUGAUCGUGAUGCUGCGAUCAUGUCAGCAGCGCAUCGGUUGCAUGCACAUGAACCGCCGCGUGAUACUGCAUCGCGCUGUACUGGAUCCCUAAACAAGACGAUGUGCACGCAAGACGUCGAGCAGACUGUCCAGAGCUGUGAUUGGAUCAGUAUAUUGCCAGAUGACAUUUUAGUCAAAAUUCUUUCCUUACUGACAGUAAGCGAUGCUGCAAUGACUGACUCUCUUUCCACUAGAUGGAGACACCUCUGGAAAAACGUUGACUGUCUCAUCCUUGACCUCUAUACUCUCAGGAUGCCAGAGUCAGAAAUCUGUUAUUGCCAUCAAAAACCAUGUCUGCGGAAAGCUCAAGUAAAAAAGUUUGUUCGCAAAACGAAUGGCUUUUUGCGCAAUCAUCAUGGCAAUAGAAUCAAGGAAUUCACUGUCAGAUUCCCAUUAACCUCAGUCAAUGCUUCUGAUCUGGACCACUGGAUUGGGUUUGCAGCUUCAGCCUCUACGGAAAAGCUCUGCCUUGACCUUUAUGACAUGAAUCGCUCAAGUUGCCUUGACAUUUCCCCUAAUGAGCCGUAUAACUUCAUAUUAUCACCAUUUUCUGAUGGGAGAGGUUGCCGGUUGAGCGAGUUGACUCUAUCCAACUGCACUGUACGAACAACACCUGCAAAUCUCAGUGGCUUUGCUUGUCUCCAUUUCCUUGAACUCAGUCGUGUGGAAAUAGCUGAUGCAACUGUUUCGAAUAUUAUUUCCAACUGUUGUGCUCUCAAAAGCUUGAUUCUAGCGUUCUGCGAUCAAUUGAUUCAUUUGACGGUUACUUGUUCACAAUUGCUGAAUUUGGAUGUUGAUUUCUGCGAUGGCUUAAUUAGUGUUUGUAUUCAUGCUGACAAUCUUGAGGCGUUCAUGUACAAGGGACACAAGAUAAAUAUUGAGUACAAAUAUGCAACAUUUCUUGAUACACUCCGUGUUCAUUUCAUAAUGAAGAAUCAAUGUCCUCUAGACUUCAUAAGUGCGCUUCCUAAGCUUCCAAAGCUGGAAACGUUGAUCUUGCAAUUUUCUGGGCCUGUACAAGUAUCCCGUGCGCUGCGGCACACUUUCAGGUUUGCUAAUUUGAAGAUGAUCGUCUUCUUUCUGGUGAAAUCUUGGAAAGAGUGCAUUUGCUCGCUUGCGUAUCUCCUUAAAGCAGCUCCGUCACUCGAAUACUUCGGGGUGCAUGGGUUUUCCAAGCUGAAGGAACAACCUAGUGAGCUCAACAUGACGUGGCCUGAGGAUCUGACUUUCGUGAGGCUCCACAUUAUCGUGGUCAAAGGGUUUAGCGGGGAGCCGGAACUGAUGGAGCUCCUCUACUUUCUGCUGAGAAGGGCGCCCGCACUGAAGAGCUUGCAACUCGAGACGCGUGCAUAUGAGCCAUUUUUAUUCAGGAAGGAGAAGCACAAGUCGGAAGACGAAGAAAGGUGCCGUUACGCUACGGAGAUGGCCUCGACCCACCUGGCUCCUAAGGUUCCCUCCACCGUGGCGUUCAGCAUCACCUGA